GACUUCUUUCACAGAGGUGCUAUUGGAACAAGCUGAUCUUGUCACUAGCACCUUGAAUUUAUGCAAGCAGUUACUCUCAAGAAGCUGCAAAAUACAUUUCUUCAGACUGUUGGGGAAGUAUCUACUAUUUACUUACACAUCUUCAAGUUCACUGAUUCUUUCCUUGGCCGUGUCUAGUCUACUGGUAAGCAAAUAUGUUCUUCAUUUCUUUCUCAGUGCUUUUAGUUGUAGUAUCUUUUUAAAAAUACUUUAUUAGAGUUUCUCUCUGUUUGCAUUACCUAUCAAUUAUUAUGUCUAUUUUUUCCUUUUAGACCCCUUAACACCAUAUUAUAGUCAUUUUAGAAUUUCCUGAUAAUUCCAGUGCUUGCAUUAUAUCUGAGUCUGGUUUUAUGCUUGCUUCAUCUGCUUAAAAUCUAUCUAUCUAUCUAUAGCCUUUUAGCACACCUUGUAACUUUUUGUUUGUAACUUUUUGUAGUUGCCUUGUAACUUUUUGUUGAAAGUUAGAUGUGUUGUACCAGGUAAUAGGAACUGAGGUCAAUAGGCAUUUAGUGUGAGGUUUGAUAUCAUUCUGGCUAGGAGUUGGGCUGUGUUUAAUGUUUGUUGUAGCAGUAGAGAGCAGAGGCUUCAAAUUCUUCUUAUGUUCUUGUUUUUAUCAUCCCCAUGUUUGGAGGCUCCUGUAGGAUCUCCUCCCAAGAGACAGUCUGUGUCUUACAGCUCUGUCAGCUGUAGUGCUGUUAUACUGGAAAACUCUUGUAGUGGGAAGAUCUUGCUCGCUGCAGGGAAGCUGGACUGGAUGCCAACUGCAAGAUUUUCUUAUUCCUUGACAACUGUUCUGCUCCUUCUCCAGCUGAAAUUCUCAUCAAAAAUAAUGUUUAUGCCAUGUACUUUUCCCUAAAUGUGACUUCAUUAAUUCAGCAUGUGACCAGAGUAUCCUUAGGUAAAUGAAGAGUAAAUAUAGAGAUACUUUUUUGAACAUCAUGCUAGCAGCAGGGAACAGAGGCAUGAGUAUGGAAGUUUUUCAAAAGGAGUUUAGUAUGAAGGAUGUCAUAUAUUCUGUUGCCAACUGUUGGAAAACAAUGACUAAAGACACAGUUGUGCAUGCCUGGACCCAACAUCUGGCCUACAACUAUGUUCAGUGAUUAUGAUGAACAAGGUGCUGGCUUUGAAGGAUGUCAAUUGUGUGAUGGGCUUCUUGGAGGGCUACACCAGUGUUCAUUCACAACAGAACAAGAAAUCAGGUAAGUUUAUAAAGUCAAAAAGACUUCUAAGAAAGAAAAAAGCACAUUGUUGAUUAGGCAGAUGCCUCUAGGAGCAACAUUUUUAAAAACCAUCCAGUGGAAUGCUUCCUCUUCCCUAGAGGACUCACUUCCUGGUCCUUCAACUGCCUGUGAUGUUUCAACUCACCUAAAAAAAAUGUUAACCAAAGCACAGCCUUUUAGGAGAAGACUGAAAGCCUGCUGUUGCUCGUUAUUGCUAUUGUUUAACAGCUGAUAUAGGUAUUCUGUUGAUGCUAUUGUACUUAAUUACCCUGAACACAUUAUUUUUCUUUCACUGUAUUUACUAUAUUAUAAUAUUUUUUCCUGUUAUGUACUUAUGUGUGAAUAAGUGUAAGAAAAUGAUUGUUUAUCAGUAGCGUAUAAAUUCAGAGUCAGAAAUAAGGGUGAUGUCAAACAACUAGAUUGUCUACAUGGGGACCUUAGAUUGUGACAACAACACCUUUGCUCUCUGAUAUCUCAGUUACACAAUCUGUGUUUUAUUAACAAAAUUAUUUGAAAUAUUGUGUAAAAUUUCAUUGAGUCUAUGUGUAUAAGCUAUAUAUGGAACACAAAUGAAUUUUGUAUUUUUACUUGGGUUCUAUCCCCAAGAUAUCUCAUUAUC
rnacentral:lncRNA from 1 species